rnacentral:rRNA from 1 species
AUUGAACGCUGGCGGCAUGCCUUACACAUGCAAGUCGAACGGCAGCGCGGGCUUCGGCCUGGCGGCGAGUGGCGAACGGGUGAGUAAUGCAUCGGAACGUGCCCAAGAGUGGGGGAUAACUAGUCGAAAGAUUAGCUAAUACCGCAUACGAUCUAAGGAUGAAAGUGGGGGACCGCAAGGCCUCAUGCUCCUGGAGCGGCCGAUGUCUGAUUAGCUAGUUGGUGGGGUAAAAGCCUACCAAGGCGACGAUCAGUAGCUGGUCUGAGAGGACGACCAGCCACACUGGGACUGAGACACGGCCCAGACUCCUACGGGAGGCAGCAGUGGGGAAUUUUGGACAAUGGGGGAAACCCUGAUCCAGCAAUGCCGCGUGUGUGAAGAAGGCCUUCGGGUUGUAAAGCACUUUUGUCAGGAACGAAACGGUGAGGGCUAAUAUCCCUUGCUAAUGACGGUACCUGAAGAAUAAGCACCGGCUAACUACGUGCCAGCAGCCGCGGUAAUACGUAGGGUGCAAGCGUUAAUCGGAAUUACUGGGCGUAAAGCGUGCGC